AACGAACGCUGGCGGCGUGCUUAACACAUGCAAGUCGAACGAGAAAAUUUCUUCGGAAGUGAGUAAAGUGGCGCACGGGUCCGUAACGCGUGGAUAAACUGCCCUCAAGUGGAGAACAACUUGUCGAAAGACGAGCUAAAACACCAUAAGACCACGGCAUCUUCGGAUGAUGGGGGAAAAUGUGGCCUCUAUUUAUAAGCUAUAGCUUGAGGAUGAGUCUGCGUACCAUUAGCGAGUUGGUAGGGUAAUGGCCUACCAAGGCCGAGAUGGUUAGCUGGUCUGAGAGGACGAUCAGCGACACUGGAACUGAGAUACGGUCCAGACUCCUACGGGAGGCAGCAGUGGGGAAUAUUGGACAAUGGGCGAAAGCCUGAUCCAGCAACGCCGCGUGAGCGAUGAAGGCCUUCGGGUUGUAAAGCUCUGUUAAGGGGAACGAAAAUGGGCGACCUAAUACGUCGUCAACUGACGGUACUCCUAGAGGAAGCACCGGCUAACUCUGUGCCAGCCGCCGCGGUAA
rnacentral:rRNA from 1 species